rnacentral:rRNA from 1 species
UACGUAGGGUGCGAGCGUUAAUCGGAAUUACUGGGCGUAAAGCGUGCGCAGGCGGUUAUAUAAGACAGAAGUGAAAUCCCCGGGCUCAACCCGGGACCUGCAUUUGUGACUGGAUAACUAGAAGACGGUAGAGGGGGGUGGAAUUCCGCGUGUAGCAGUGAAAUGCGUAGAUAUGCGGAGGAACACCGAUGGCGAAGGCAAUCCCCUGGACCUGUACUGACGCUCAUGCACGAAAGCGUGGGGAGCAAACAGGAUUAGAUCCCCUUGUAGUCCACGCCCUAAACGAUGUCAACUGGUUGUUGGGUCUUCACUGACUCAGUAACGAAGCUAACGCGUGAAGUUGACCGCCUGGGGAGUACGGCCGCAAGGUUG